rfam:Aedes albopictus isolate Foshan contig121889, whole genome shotgun sequence.
UUUGUUGUGAAUAAAUGGCUGGAGGAAACUUCGGACAUAUUUUUGAAGAAAUGCCUAUGAAACUUCCUUGAAGCCUCUCUGGAAGAUUUUCUAAAAAAAAUUGCGGUAUUUUCUAAAGGAAUCCGUAGAGGGGUUUAUGGAAACAAUGUGAUGAUU